rnacentral:rRNA from 1 species
AUUGAACGCUGGCGGCAGGCUUAACACAUGCAAGUCGAGCGGGGAAAGGUAGCUUGCUACCUGACCUAGCGGCGGACGGGUGAGUAAUGCUUAGGAAUCUGCCUAUUAGUGGGGGACAACAUCUCGAAAGGGAUGCUAAUACCGCAUACGUCCUACGGGAGAAAGCAGGGGACCUUCGGGCCUUGCGCUAAUAGAUGAGCCUAAGUCGGAUUAGCUAGUUGGUGGGGUAAAGGCCUACCAAGGCGACGAUCUGUAGCGGGUCUGAGAGGAUGAUCCGCCACACUGGGACUGAGACACGGCCCAGACUCCUACGGGAGGCAGCAGUGGGGAAUAUUGGACAAUGGGGGGAACCCUGAUCCAGCCAUGCCGCGUGUGGGAAGAAGGCCUUUUGGUUGUAAAGCACUUUAAGCGGGGAGGAGGCUACCGAGAUUAAUACUCUUGGAUAGUGGACGUUACUCGCAGAAUAAGCACCGGCUAACUCUGUG